UGCAAGGUUAACCGAAUAGGGGAGCCGAAGGGAAACCGAGUCUUAACUGGGCGUUAAGUUGCAGGGUAUAGACCCGAAACCCGGUGAUCUAGCCAUGGGCAGGUUGAAGGUUGGGUAACACUAACUGGAGGACCGAACCGACUAAUCUUGAAAAAUUAGCGGAUGACUUGUGGCUGGGGGUGAAAGGCCAAUCAAACCGGGAGAUAGCUGGUUCUCCCCGAAAGCUAUUUAGGUAGCGCCUCGUGAAUUCAUCUCCGGGGGUAGAGCACUGUUUCGGCAAGGGGGUCAUCCCGACUUACCAACCCGAUGCAAACUGCGAAUACCGGAGAAUGUUAUCACGGGAGACACACGGCGGGUGCUAACGUCCGUCGUGAAGAGGGAAACAACCCAGACCGCCAGCUAAGGUCCCAAAGUCAUGGUUAAGUGGGAAACGAUGUGGGAAGGCCCAGACAGCCAGGAUGUUGGCUUAGAAGCAGCCAUCAUUUAAAGAAAGCGUAAUAGCUCACUGGUCGAGUCGGCCUGCGCGGAAGAUGUAACGGGGCUAAACCAUGCACCGAAGCUGCGGCAGCGACGCUUAUGCGUUGUUGGGUAGGGGAGCGUUCUGUAAGCCUGCGAAGGUGUGCUGUGAGGCAUGCUGGAGGUAUCAGAAGUGCGAAUGCUGACAUAAGUAACGAUAAAGCGGGUGAAAAGCCCGCUCGCCGGAAGACCAAGGGUUCCUGUCCAACGUUAAUCGGGGCAGGGUGAGUCGACCCCUAAGGCGAGGCCGAAAGGCGUAGUCGAUGGGAAACAGGUUAAUAUUCCUGUACUUGGUGUUACUGCGAAGGGGGGACGGAGAAGGCUAUGUUGGCCGGGCGACGGUUGUCCCGGUUUAAGCGUGUAGGCUGGUUUUCCAGGCAAAUCCGGAAAAUCAAGGCUGAGGCGUGAUGACGAGGCACUACGGUGCUGAAGCAACAAAUGCCCUGCUUCCAGG
rnacentral:rRNA from 1 species